rnacentral:lncRNA from 1 species
CACAUUUCAACAAGAUAGAUAACAAUCUCCUCCCACUUUUAUUAGCAAAAUAGCUUAUACAUAACAUUUCUUGAAACUAGCAACACAAAUUGCAUACAUGAAAACACAACCACCGUCGAAGCACAUUUUGCAGGACAUAGCUUAUAACUUGGAGGAGAAUGAAACCACAUAUCAAGGCUUUGUGGAGGAUGCAGUUCCAUUGGCCAUCACGCCGUCGAACCCACAACAAUAUGGGUCCCUAGGACAACAAGGUGGAUCGUGUCGCAUAAGCCUACCGGCUGCUAGCGCUAUCGGCACGGCCAUCGUCAUGAGUAAGCAGACUUGUGCGAUGAGAAAAGCAGUGAAGACUUGGAGGAUGCUAUUAUUUGCCAUCGCCUAAGUUCACAGUGAGCGGUAGAGAACACUAUGCAAUUCUCCUUUCACUAGUAUCUC